rnacentral:rRNA from 1 species
UACGUAGGGUGCGAGCGUUGUCCGGAAUUAUUGGGCGUAAAGGGCUCGUAGGCGGUCUGUUGCGUCAGGAGUGAAAACUCGGGGCUUAACCCCGAGCCUGCUUCUGAUACGGGCAGACUAGAGGUAUGCAGGGGAGAACGGAAUUCCUGGUGUAGCGGUGAAAUGCGCAGAUAUCAGGAGGAACACCAAUGGCGAAGGCAGAUCUCUGGGCCGUAACUGACGCUGAGGAGCGAAAGCGUGGGGAGCGAACAGG